rnacentral:lncRNA from 1 species
ACAUGCACAGAAGACAGUCAUGUGACAAUGAAGGCAGGGAUUGGAGUGAUCCAUCUACAAGUGAAGGAGCACCAAGGAUUAGCAAGGACAACAACAAGCAGAAGCUAAGAAGAGGCAAGGAAGGAUUCUCCCAUAGAGCCUUUAGAGGAAGAGAGACCUGCUGACACCUUAAUUCUGGACUACUAGUUGCCAACACUGGGAGGAAGUUUGGAGGAGACAUGUGGGGACUCCUGAACCCCACCCCACUGGAGAAUAAAGGGGACAAGCGAGGCGCCCCACUGGAAUCCCGUUCGGACUGGGAAACCAAGAUCGGGUAUGUCUUUAUCAGCAG